UGAACCCUAACUUAUAACAGCCGCCUCUCUCAGUCUCUCACUCUCCAGGUUGCAGUUAAAGGAGGAAGAAGAAGAACUGCCUCUAACUCCUCACUCUACAAUCAUUACUCAAAAGGUUACUCAAAAAGCACAAGGGUUAUAGUAGGCGUGGCUUCUCUGUAACCUAUUCUCCUGCAUCAGCAACAUAUCAACAUAUGAACACAUAAAUAAAUCAAGAAGGAGGAGAGAUUGCAGAUGGCGGAAUGUGGAGUAUUAGUUUUGGUUGGCUUAGGGAAAAAUAAAAAUCAGAUUUUUUUUUAAAAAAAUUGCAAUUACACCCUUCAUUUCAUUUCGGUUUGAAGAUGAUUACCUGUAUAAGGAGAAAAGGCCAUUAGUUGCUUGAACAAUGGAGUUGCAGUGAUUGGGGAAAAAAAAGCAUCAAAGAAGACGAUGGAAGUGGGCGCCUGUUUUAUAGUCUUAACAUUACCUACUGUAUUUGAUUGGGCUUCAAGUUGAUUGGGGUAAUGGGCUAAUUAAUGUAAAUAUAAAUGGACAUCUUUCAAAUUUUAAUUGAGAUGCAUUUGAUUGGUCUAUCAUA